AUACAAGCAUGAAUAUGAACAAUAUUUGUGCUAUUUAUUUACUCAUAUAACUAAUCGUAUUUUUAUUACAACUGAUAUUGGUACAAGUGGAAAUGACUGUGAUUAUCUAACUGUAACAAGUGGAAUUACAUGUACGAAAGUUUAGUAGUAGCGUAUGAAUAUAGAAACCCAAUUAACGCUAACGUAUAAUUCUCGGGAUUGUGGUGAGGAAGAUGAUGAAAUGCUAACUACCCAAGAUUGGACU
rnacentral:lncRNA from 1 species